GUUUAAUUGAAAUCAAGUCUUGUAAUGGAACAAACUUCGACAACUAAUAAUAACAAUAAUAACUAAAAUUGUUUUUCAAAAAAUUUUCCUGGAAAAAAAUAUUUCUACAGAAAGAGCUUCGUUUACACACGGAAAGAUCUCACAUCUUGUAGCAAGUCUGCCAACAAGCCGUCAACAAGUCGUGUCCGCACUGCUUGUCCCAAGUUGUCGACAAGUUUGUAACCGACCUUGUUGAUAUUAUCAGUUUUGUUGCAAGGUUGUUCCAACAAGUCCGAUACGGUCAUGAUAUAACAAUAUUGUUACAACCUUGUGUCAUCAACCUUGUAACGUCCUUGUUAUAUCAUGACUGUAUCAGACUUGUUGGAACAACCUUGUAACAAGUCUGACGAUGCCAUCAAGCUUGUUACAAGUUGUUAACAGCUCGUUCCAAACUUGUUACAACAAUUGGGAACAAGCAGUGCGAAUACAACUUGUCGACAGCUUGUGAACCGAUUUGUAACAACUUGUUUGCAGACCUGCAACA